AUUGAACGCUGGCGGCAGGCCUAACACAUGCAAGUCGAGCGAGAAAGCACUUCGGUGUGAGUAGAGCGGCGGACGGGUGAGUAACGCGUAGGAAUCUACCAAGUAGUGGGGGACAACAUGUUGAAAAGCAUGCUAAUACCGCAUACGCCCUGAGGGGGAAAGGGGGCUCUUUGAGCUCUUGCUAUUUGAUGAGCCUGCGUAAGAUUAGCUUGUUGGUGAGGUAAAGGCUCACCAAGGCGACGAUCUUUAGCUGUUCUGAGAGGAUGAUCAGCCACACUGGGACUGAGACACGGCCCAGACUCCUACGGGAGGCAGCAGUGGGGAAUAUUGCACAAUGGGGGAAACCCUGAUGCAGCCAUGCCGCGUGUGUGAAGAAGGCUCUAGGGUUGUAAAGCACUUUCAGUGGGGAGGAAAAGUUAGUAGUUAAUACCUGCUAGCCGUGACGUUACCCACAGAAGAAGGACCGGCUAACUCCGUGCCAGCAGCCGCGGUAAUACGGAGGGUCCAAGCGUUAAUCGGAAUUACUGGGCGUAAAGCGCGCGUAGGCGGUUUGUUAAGUCGGAUGUGAAAGCCCAGGGCUCAACCUUGGAAUUGCAUUCGAAACUGGCUUACUAGAGUACGAUAGAGGGUGGUAGAAUUUCUUGUGUAGCAGUGAAAUGCGUAGAUAUGAGAAGGAAUACCAGUGGCGAAGGCGGCCACCUGGAUCGAUACUGACGCUGA
rnacentral:rRNA from 1 species